CGACAAUUCGAAGAAGUAGAGAGAAGCCCAGAGCUCUCGACCCGUUUACACGACCUGACGAGCUACGUAGUGAUCGACCGGAACCUCUCCAUUUGGCGAUGAUAGGGCGGCGCACCGGUGCCGUUCGGUUCGUCUUGACGACGCCGACAUGCCUCUUGUCACGGAUCGUCCAUGCAAGGAGCGAGGAGAGAAAAUCGAGGCUCGAAAUUUUCUAACUUUCUGGCGGUUCCGCAGCAUUUUCCGGCGAUCGUUUGUCGUGCAUGAGGUAUGAAGUGUGACCUGCUCUUCGAGCUCUACAUGUCCGUAUAAUCAGUUUUCAAUUUCGGUUGGGUAUUGACGGAUUGAUGAUUUGUGUUUUUUGGUGUCGUCGGAGUUCACUGUUCACGGCAGCUUCCUUGUGUUUUUGGGUUCAUUCCCGACAACAAUUCUCGUCCUAGAACUUGAAUUGGAGCUCGGUUAUGUUCAAUUCAUGGAACGGUUUGGUUGGAGAGCUCGCUGGCGUUCGCUGCUGGAAAUUCCAGUAGAUAACAAGGUGAGCUAUUUCUCAUGGAGAAUUGAAAUCAGUUUUGUGUUUAUCUUCAAGUCUUCUGCCUGAAAUUAUUGGAAUGGAAGUUUGUUAAUCGAAGUGCUAUGUAUUGGCUUGUUAUGUGCCGGGUAAAAUUGUGGAGGAGUGAGCAAAGGAAGGGUUUUUCCCAGCUACUGUGUUCUUCGUCAAAGGGAGUGAACCCAUCUGUUUUAGUCUUGUUUGGAAUUGAGGUUAGUUGGGCUCUCCUUUGAUGAUAUUGAAACAUAAAAAUUUGGUUAAUCACCUGAUGAUUAGAACUUGGUUAAAAUGAUUUUUGUUUGCCUCUGUCAAGUUCAUGAGUGGAAGGCCGCAAGAAGGGACUUUGUGGAGCUGGACCAAACUUGGGUGUGGCACUCUAGAAUGAGAGUGGUUACUAUGAUUUUCACCGAAGGGACUCUAGUUGCCCAAAAUGGGAAAGGUGGUGGUGUUGGCCUAGAAAAGCAAAUGGAGUCAAAGCUGCGAUAUUCCAGGUAGGGGAUUCUAGACUCGACUCAGGUAGUAACUUUUAUGCAUGUACUUUAUAGAAAUUAUUGAUGCAUGAAAAAUGUGUUUUCGAUUCUUCUAUGAGAUAUUGUUUGAUGACCUGAGAGUGAGAGGAGCAUAGCGACUUCCUUGGGUUUCGAUCCCCUAAACCUCCGGAGGGGCUGUAUGGACUGAAGAGUGUCUGACAUCCGUUGAGGUGUGGCACUGCUUCUAGGUGAUACGGCGUAAGUGGACACUCUCUCUACACCUUGCCAGUGUAAACGAUAUUAAUCGUGGUAAGGUUGUAGUUGGCAUAGCCAUCGGUCAUCAGGUCUGUUUCAUUCUUUUGGGCCCUACUAUAUUUUUAUAAACGAACUACGGUUUGUGGUUUCGAACAUUUUUAUCUAUAUGCAUUGUUUCUCACUUACUUUGUCGGCACCUAUAUUUUAAAUUAUUUUUGCACCUAGUUGGGGUAGAGUCUUAUUAAGCAGCGAGGACGAAAGCUCACCCCUACAACAGUUUGUGGAUGCAAGUACUGUGUAUGAAGACGGGAUAGCUAGAUGACGCUGGGUAUGGCUUAGUUACUUUAUAUUUCAAAUUAUGUCAUUGACGGAGUUAGAUCCGCGUGACAGGUUCACUUAUUUCCUUUACUCCCGUGUAACUUCUUUACCGAGGUUGUGAUUAUUUGUAAAAUACCUCUUUUGUAUAUUUUUUGGACUUUGGCCUUCAACCGGACGAACAUUCGAUAA